rnacentral:tRNA from 1 species
AUUCACAAAAUAAAUUAAAUUGUAAAUUUAAAAAAAAUAUUGUGUUACA